rnacentral:lncRNA from 1 species
UAUAAAACGCCAAUAAACCCCCAAAAAAUCCCAAAUAAAUCCCGAAUAAAUCCUCAAUAAAUCCCAUAUAAAUCCCCAAUAAACCCCCAAUAAAUCCCAAAUAAAUCCCAUAUAAACUCCCAAUAAAUCCCAUAUAAACUCCCAAUAAAUCCCCAAAAAUCCUAUAUAAAUCCCCAAAAAAUCCCCAAUAAAUCCCAUAUAAAUCCCAUAUAAAACCCCAAUAAACCCCCAAUAAAUCCCCAAUAAAUCCCAUAUGAAAUCCCCAAUAAAUCCCAUAUAAAUCCCCAAUAAAUCCCAUAUAAAACCCCAAUAAAUCCCAUAUAAAUCCCCAAUAAAUCCCAUACAAAUCCCAUAUAAAUCCCAUAUAAAUCCCAUAUAACUCCCCAACAAAUCCCCAAUAAAUUCCAUAUAAAUUCCCAAUAAAUCCCAUAUAAAUUCCCAAUAAAUCCCAUAUAAAAGCCCAAUAAAUGCCAUAUAAACCCCCAAUAAAUCCCAUAUAAAACCCCAAUAAAUCCCCAAAAUAUCCCAUAUAAACCCCCAAAAAUCCCCAAUAAAUCCCAUAUAAAAUCCCAUAUAAAUCCCAUAUAAAACCCCAAUAAAUCCCCAAUAAAUCUGCCAUAAAUCCCAUCUAAAUCCCAUAUAAAACCCCAAUAAAUCCCAUAUAAAUCCCCAAUAAAUCCCAUAUAAAAUCCAUAUAAAUCUCAUAUAAAACCCCAAUAAAUCCUGUAUAAAUCCCGUAUAAAAUCCAUAUAAACCUGCUCGGGGUUGCUGAGGUUCUCGGACUCCUCCAGGACGUUUUCCCCCACGAAGAUCUCGGGGUGGGCAAAGAGCAGCUCCAGCAGCUCCUCGAUGCAGCCCAGGCACUUCUGCCACAAUUCCGGCUGAAAAUAAAUUAAAAAUUAUAAAAAUAUCCCAAAAAUCCCAAAUGUGACCCCAAAAAUCCUAAAUUUACUCCAUAAAUCAGCCCAGGCACUUCUGCCAUAAUUCAGGCUAAAAAUGAACCAAAAAUUAUAAAUAUAUCCCAAAAAUCCCAAUCCUGACCCCAUAAAUCAGCCCAGGCAAUUCUGCCAUAAUUCAGGCUAAAAAUGGAGAAAAAAUUCUAAAUAAUCCUAAAUAAUCCUAAAUUUACUCCAUAAAUCAGCCCAGGCACUUCUGCCACAGCUCGGGCUGGAAAUGGACAAAAAAUUAUAAAUAUAUCCCAAAAACCCCAAACUGACCCCAUAAAUCAGCCCAGGCACUUCUGCCANCCCAAAAAAUCCCAUAAUAAUCACCCCAAAAUAACCCAAAAAAUCCCAUAAAAAUCCCAUAAAAAUCACCCAAAAAAUCCCAUAAAAAUCACCCCAAAAUAACCCAAAAAAUCCCAUAAAAAUCCCAUAAAAACCCCAUUAAAAUCACCCCAAAAAUCCCAUAAAAAUCCCAUAAAUAACCCCAAAAAUGAGCCCAAAAUCCCCAAUAAAACCCAUAAAAAGCCCCUAUAAUGACCCCA